CCGGGCUCAACCUGGGAACUGCAUCUGAUACUGGCAAGCUUGAGUCUCGUAGAGGGGGGUAGAAUUCCAGGUGUAGCGGUGAAAUGCGUAGAGAUCUGGAGGAAUACCGGUGGCGAAGGCGGCCCCCUGGACGAAGACUGACGCUCAGGUGCGAAAGCGUGGGGAGCAAACAGGAUUAGAUACCCUGGUAGUCCACGCCGUAAACGAUGUCGACUUGGAGGUUGUGCCCUUGAGGCGUGGCUUCCGGAGCUAACGCGUUAAGUCGACCGCCUGGGGAGUACGGCCGCAAGGUUAAAACUCAAAUGAAUUGACGGGGGCCCGCACAAGCGGUGGAGCAUGUGGUUUAAUUCGAUGCAACGCGAAGAACCUUACCUGGUCUUGACAUCCACGGAAGUUUUCAGAGAUGAGAAUGUGCCUUCGGGAACCGUGAGACAGGUGCUGCAUGGCUGUCGUCAGCUCGUGUUGUGAAAUGUUGGGUUAAGUCCCGCAACGAGCGCAACCCUUAUCCUUUGUUGCCAGCGGUCCGGCCGGGAACUCAAAGGAGACUGCCAGUGAUAAACUGGAGGAAGGUG
rnacentral:rRNA from 1 species